rnacentral:misc_RNA from 1 species
ACUGGGGUUGGAUCACCUCCUUACCUUAAUGAUGACGAAGUUGUUGAGUGUUCACACAGAUUGCCUUGAUUCAAAUUAAUUAAAGCAAAAACCUGGUGCGCAAGCAUCAGUGCUUGUUUGGCUAACCCCUGAUAAGGGUGAGGUCUUUGUUGGGUGUUGGGAUGUGAAUACCGCUUCGAGUCGUGGCCCAUUCCCCUGCUGGCAGAGCCAAAGACAAAUCCGGGUCCCCUUCGCCUAGAGGCCUAGGACACCGCCCUUUCACGGCGGUCUGAAUUGUUCAAAUCCCCAAGGGAACACCUCUUCU